CGAAGUAGGAAUCUGUGCGUCAAGUGUUCAUUGGCUGGGGAGUCGCCGUGAAACGAAAAACAGCUUGUACUGUUUACGAUACAUUUUCCGCACCCGUUG
rnacentral:ncRNA from 1 species